rnacentral:rRNA from 1 species
GGGAAUAUUGGACAAUGGGCGCAAGCCUGAUCCAGCAAUGCCGCGUGUGUGAAGAAGGUCUUCGGAUUGUAAAGCACUUUCGACGGGGACGAUGAUGACGGUACCCGUAGAAGAAGCCCCGGCUAACUUCGUGCCAGCAGCCGCGGUAAUACGAAGGGGGCUAGCGUUGCUCGGAAUGACUGGGCGUAAAGGGCGCGUAGGCGGCUUGUACAGUCAGAUGUGAAAUUCCCGGGCUUAACCUGGGGGCUGCAUUUGAUACGUGCGGGCUAGAGUGUGAAAGAGGGUCGUGGAAUUCCCAGUGUAGAGGUGAAAUUCGUAGAUAUUGGGAAGAACACCGGUGGCGAAGGCGGCGACCUGGUUCAUGACUGACGCUGAGGCGCGAAAGCGUGGGGAGCAAACA